rnacentral:misc_RNA from 1 species
UCUCUCUCUCUCUCUCUCUCUCUGCGUAUUUGUUGAAAGGGCGGAGACUUCCAUGAUCCACCUCCUCUGUUACUUUUAUAGUUGUAUUUGUCAUAGCUGAUUAGCAAAGCCUCUGUUCUAUCAAAGUUGGACUCUCCAAAUCCUUAUCAUGGCCAUCGAUGUUUCAACCUUGCAAAAUAUUUAUGUUGAUUCCUGUGAGAGACAUGGGGUCCUACCUAAUGCUGCAGUUUUAUCUGGUUUCGUCAAGGCUGAGGUUAAAAAGUCUUGCAAAGAACUAUGUAACUUGGAGAUAUUCUUGGACCAACUUAACGAUAUUGACUUUCCUCCUCUUCUCGAUGUUUGUUUGUCAAUUGACACUUCUGAGAUUGAAGCUGUUGACAUACAUGAUGGAUCAUCGCGUGUGUUGAAUGGAGACUAUGCUUUAUCUUUGAUGCGUGCGUUCAAUCAAAAGCUUCGAGUUGUAGAUCUUCAGGAUUCAUUAUAUGGAAAGGACUUCUUAAGGGAGCUGUCACAAGGAGGGUUGACAUGCCAAGUUUUAAACUUGAGGUCUUCACGUUUCCGGAAGCUCAACAUGGCGGGAGAAUUCAUGCGGAUACACACCCUCAAUCUUGAUUUCAACACUUCACUUACUAGCUUCCGUGAGGAUUGUUUUACUUGCAUGCCCAAUCUAAAUUACCUCUCAAUGUGUGCAACAAGAGUUGCAAAUCUUUGGACAACUAUUGCAGCACUUACUAAACUCUCUUCUUUGGUGGAGCUAAGGUUUCAAAAGUGGCUGUGCUGUAAUGAGACUGGGUCUUCUUCAGCACCAUGUGGUGGAAAGUCAGAUUAUCAAUGUGAAUAUGGUCAGAUAAGAAGUUGUUCCAACAAUGAAGCACCAUCCAUUGUUUUAGGUGAGCAAACAGAUUUUAACUCAGGCACAGAAGAGACACUCAGGAAUAUGUUUUCUUUCAAUAAUGUGACGAUGAAUCAAGAAGUUCAAAGCAUGAUGGAGGAUUCAUCAGAUGAUGGUGAAGUGGAUUUUUCAACUCACUGGCAAGAAUUCGAUUACAUGGAUUCAUUGUCCAAUGAAUCUUCAGGGUGGAACAGACAAGUCAAUCUGCAGGAUGAGGUGCCUUUUAUCACUAUGUGCAAUCACAAUGAAGAAUCCUUGGCUGGUGCUUUCACAAGGCAUAUGACAGAUGUUGCUUUGAAGUAUAUUUCUUGUCAUGCUUCACCCAUAUGCUAUGAGAAGCAUUAUAAAGAAUACAUGAUAGCUUCAUUGCCCCAAUUGAAAACUUUAGAUAACUUGCCUAUCAGAAAGAUUGACAGGGAAAGGGCUGCUGUUACAUAUUCACAAUACUUUGAGUACUUACCAUACAAACGGAAAUAUAAAGAGAGUGUUGUUCGUAUUUUGAAUAGGCGUGAAAUAAAAGAAAAUCGUACUUUUUUUCAGACAAAGAAUCAUAAGCGUUCAUAUCCUUCCAAAAACUCACAAUACUUCUAUACCCGGUCUUUUUGUGCCGCCAAAGUGGGUUCUUCAGCUUGGCCUUCUUUGCAUCCACUUUCUGUGUCAGGAUGUGAUUUGGGUGGUGGAAGGAGGAGCUUUCGUCCAAGACAGUUCGAGUAUCAUCCUUCUAUCUCCAGCCUCUUGGUAUUUGGAACUUUAGAUGGUGAGGUGGUUGUAGUCAAUCAUGAGAAUGAGAAAAUAGUAAGUUAUGUUCCCUCACUUGGAGCAAUGAACAGUGUAUUGGGCCUAUGCUGGCUCAAGCGUUAUCCAUCCAAGCUCAUAGCUGGUUCUGAUAAUGGCUCACUAAAAUUAUAUGACGUUGAGCAUAUGCCCCCAACACUUAUGGGAAUACAUUCAGGUGCUGGCUCAGUCACCUUUGAUGAUUUUGACCAGUUGACAUCUGUUCAUGUUAAUGCUACGGAUGAGCUAUUUCUUGCAAGUGGAUACUCAAAAAAUGUUGCUCUGUAUGACAUCAACUCUGGAAGGAGAAUACAAAUGUUCACUGAUAUGCACCGGGAACAUAUCAAUGUGGUCAAGUUCUCAAACCAUUCCCCGUCAAUUUUUGCUACUUCUUCAUUUGAUCAUGACGUCAAACUAUGGGACUUGAGACAGAAACCAAUACAGCCUUGCUAUACAACUUCAAGCUCUAAUGGAAAUGUGAUGGUUUGCUUUUCUCCAGAUGAUCAUUAUCUUCUUGUAUCUGCUGUUGACAAUGAGGUUCGACAACUUUUGGCAGUUGAUGGGAGGCCACACUUGAAUUUUGAGAUAUCGUCAACUGCAAGUUCACAGAAUUACACUCGCUCCUACUACAUGAAUGGAAGGGAUUAUAUUAUAAGUGGGAGUUGUGAUGAACAUGUGGUCCGUGUCUGCUGUGCUCAAACUGGAAGGCGUCUCAAAGACAUAUCUUUGGAGGGACGAGGCCUGGGGACUUCAAUGUAUGUGCAGUCUUUGAGGGGUGAUCCUUUUAGGGUGAGUUUGAAUUAUUGUAUUGAUUCUCAGCAUGCUUAUGGUAAUUGAACAGGUAGACUUGGGAAUUAUGUUCAUAAAAUCUUUCACAUUUCUACCAAACUUCAUCAUUUCACAACACAUCCAUUCGAGUUAGGUUGUAUGAAUAUUGCUUCUAAAUUUAUGAAAAUUUUUUUUAUUACAGUAUGUUUCUCAAUUUGCUUUGUGUUUUCUUAAUGCCUUUUGCAUAGGAUUUCAACAUGAGUAUCUUAGCAGCUUACAUGCGUCCAAACUCAAAGUAUGAAAUUGUUAAGGUCAAUUUGCUUGCAUCUUGUGAUCGCUCCAAGGAAUGCUCUUACAGCCAACAUUCACAAUCAUCCAAUGGUAUGGGAGGUUGAACUCCAUCUGCUCACAGGCCCACAUGCAAUUGUCAUACAUUAUACAUGCAUAUAACAUUGAAUACCCCAUUAUCCAUCAUCCUUGUAUAUAUAUAUAUAUAUAUGCUUUAUUCAAGUGUAAAUAAUUGAAGCAAAAGAUGAUUAAUGUUCUUUUGCUUAAUAAAGCAAGUUCUUGGAAAUGGCAAAUAUCUUUGUUCUAUGACAUUGAAUUCAUAUUGCUAGGUUUGGAUGUAUGUAUAAAAUCUUGAAUCAACCCAUUUAAUAACCAAACCCAACCAAACAAGCAAAAACCUGAGAUGUAUCAGGUCUGGUUAGUUUGGGCUGUCUGAUAAUUUC